rnacentral:rRNA from 1 species
AUUGAACGCUGGCGGCAUGCCUUACACAUGCAAGUCGAACGGCAGCACGGGAGCAAUCCUGGUGGCGAGUGGCGAACGGGUGAGUAAAGUAUCGGAACGUGCCCAGUCGUGGGGGAUAACGUAGCGAAAGUUACGCUAAUACCGCAUACGAUCUAUGGAUGAAAGCGGGGGAUCGCAAGACCUCGCGCGAUUGGAGCGGCCGAUAUCAGAUUAGGUAGUUGGUGGGGUAAAGGCUCACCAAGCCGACGAUCUGUAGCUGGUCUGAGAGGACGACCAGCCACACUGGGACUGAGACACGGCCCAGACUCCUACGGGAGGCAGCAGUGGGGAAGUUUGGACAAUGGGCGAAAGCCUGAUCCAGCCAUGCCGCGUGCAGGAUGAAGGCCUUCGGGUUGUAAACUGCUUUUGUACGGAACGAAAAGGUUUGGCCUAAUAAGCUGAGCUCAUGACGGUACCGUAAGAAUAAGCACCGGCUAACUACUUGCCAGCCGCCGCAGUAA